rnacentral:ncRNA from 1 species
GCGUUGAAGCGGGAGGUUGCGGCCUUUGAGCCGGUUUUUCCGUGGAGUAUGUCCGAUUUUAAACCGGGCG